rnacentral:rRNA from 1 species
CAAGUCGAACGGGCUCUUCGGAGCUAGUGGCGGACGGGUGAGUAACGCGUGAGAAUCUGCCUUCAGGUCUGGGACAACAGAAGGAAACUUCUGCUAAUCCCGGAUGAGCCCUAGGGUAAAAGAUAAAUUGCCUGGAGAUGAGCUCGCGUCUGAUUAGCUAGUUGGUGUGAUAAAAGCAUACCAAGGCGACGAUCAGUAGCUGGUCUGAGAGGAUGAGCAGCCACACUGGGACUGAGACACGGCCCAGACUCCUACGGGAGGCAGCAGUGGGGAAUUUUCCGCAAUGGGCGAAAGCCUGACGGAACAAGACCGCGUGGGGGAGGAAAGCUCUAGGGUUGUAAACCCCUUUUCUUUGGGAAGAAGUACUGACGGUACCAAAGGAAUCAGCCUCGGCUAACUCCGUGCCAGCAGCCGCGGUAAUACGGAGGAGGCAAGCGUUAUCCGGAAUGAUUGGGCGUAAAGCGUCCGCAGGUGGCCAUGUAAGUCUGCUGUCAAAACCCAGGGCUUAACUCUGGUCAGGCAGUGGAAACUACAAAGCUAGAGUUCGGUAGGGGCAAAGGGAAUUCCCGGUGUAACGGUGAAAUGCGUAGAUAUCGGGAAGAACAUCGGUGGCGAAAGCGCUUUGCUAGACC